ensembl:lncRNA
GGUAUAUUCAAUAUACCACUAGUCUGUGAUCGUAGUAUGUAUUUUCUGUAGUAUCAAUCGAAAUAUCACGUUCAUCAUUCAUCAUGGAGUUUGCCAAAAAGAAGGUUUUCCCCUGUUUCGGAGCAUUUUGAUCUAGUUGCUCCAAAUAAGGUUUGCCUAUUCAUAGAUACUGCUAUUCAUUUAAAAACAUGGCUUGGUUACAAUAAUAAUACAUCUUCCAAGUUGAGGCAUUACCGUGCCCUUCAUGAGAAAGGAGACACCCACAGCACCUGCUGGGACUUGCACAGCUUCCAGGAAAAAGGAACUGGACGACGAGGCCUUGGUGGACAUGGUGGUGAAGCAUUACCAGCCUUUUACUGUGCUCAACGACCAGGGAAUCAGGGGGCUGGUACAAUUACUUGACCCUUCAUAUGUUCUGCCCACCAGACAGGCUUUAAAGGCCAUGGUGGAGGAACGCUACCACCAAGGCAAAAGGGAGGCCAAGGCCCUUGUUCAGCAGGCUACUGCAGUCAGCCUAACUUCAGAUAUGUGGACAUCCAUGAAUAUGGAGGCCUACCUUGCAGUCAACUGCCACUUUAUUGCAGAUGGUGUGCUGAAUACCACACUGCUUGGGGUUCAGCAUUUCCCACAGAGCCAUACACAGCCCAUAACCUGGCUGAAGCUAAGGGUGCCAUUAUGGAGGAGUGGGGCAUCAGGCACAAGGUGACUUGUCUUCUAACUGAUGCAGCUUCCAACAUGCUUGCAUGUGGCAGGGAGCUGCAUUUGAAACAAGCCAUCUGCAUAGCUCAUGCCAUCAACCUGAUGGCAAAGAAAUCCUUGGAUGACACCCCUGGACUUGAGCAGCUGCGUACAAGUGCCAGAA